rnacentral:rRNA from 1 species
UUAAGCGACUAAGCGUACACGGUGGAUGCCCUGGCAGUCAGAGGCGAUGAAGGACGUGCUAAUCUGCGAAAAGCGUCGGUAAGGUGAUAUGAACCGUUACAGCCGGCGAUGUCCGAAUGGGGAAACCCAGUGCAAUUCGUUGCACUAUCGUUAACUGAAUACAUAGGUUAACGAGGCGAACCGGGGGAACUGAAACAUCUAAGUACCCCGAGGAAAAGAAAUCAACCGAGAUUCCCCCAGUAGCGGCGAGCGAACGGGGAGCAGCCCGGAGUCUGAAUCAGCUUGUGUGUUAGUGGAAGCGUCUGGAAAGUCGCAGGGUACAGGGUGAUACUCCCGUACACUAAAACACACAGGCUGUGAACUCGAAGAGUAGGGCGGGACACGUGGUAUCCUGUCUGAAUAUGGGGGGACCAUCCUCCAAGGCUAAAUACUCCUGACUGACCGAUAGUGAACCAGUACCGUGAGGGAAAGGCGAAAAGAACCCCGGCGAGGGGAGUGAAAAAGAACCUGAAACCGUGUACGUACAAGCAGUAGGAGCCCACUAGUUGGGUGACUGCGUACCUUUUGUAUAAUGGGUCAGCGACUUAUAUUCUGUAGCAAGGUUAACCGAAUAGGGGAGCCGCAGGGAAACCGAGUCUUAACUGGGCGUUAAGUUGCAGGGUAUAGACCCGAAACCCGGUGAUCUAGCCAUGGGCAGGUUGAAGGUUGGGUAACACUAACUGGAGGACCGAACCGACUAAUGUUGAAAAAUUAGCGGAUGACUUGUGGCUGGGGGUGAAAGGCCAAUCAAACCGGGAGAUAGCUGGUUCUCCCCGAAAGCUAUUUAGGUAGCGCCUCGUGAACUCAUCUUCGGGGGUAGAGCACUGUUUCGGCUAGGGGGUCAUCCCGACUUACCAACCCGAUGCAAACUACGAAUACGGAAGAAUGUUAUCACGGGAGACACACGGCGGGUGCUAACGUCCGUCGUGAAGAGGGAAACAACCCAGACCGCCAGCUAAGGUCCCAAAGUCAUGGUUAAGUGGGAAACGAUGUGGGAAGGCCCAGACAGCCAGGAUGUUGGCUUAGAAGCAGCCAUCAUUUAAAGAAAGCGUAAUAGCUCACUGGUCGAGUCGGCCUGCGCGGAAGAUGUAACGGGGCUAAACCAUGCACCGAAGCUGCGGCAGCGACGCUUAUGCGUUGUUGGGUAGGGGAGCGUUCUGUAAGCCGUUGAAGGUGGCCUGUGAGGGUUGCUGGAGGUAUCAGAAGUGCGAAUGCUGACAUAAGUAACGAUAAUGCGGGUGAAAAACCCGCACGCCGGAAGACCAAGGGUUCCUGUCCAACGUUAAUCGGGGCAGGGUGAGUCGACCCCUAAGGCGAGGCCGAAAGGCGUAGUCGAUGGGAAACAGGUUAAUAUUCCUGUACUUGGUGUUACUGCGAAGGGGGGACGGAGAAGGCUAUGUUGGCCGGGCGACGGUUGUCCCGGUUUAAGCAUGUAGGCGGAUGUUCCAGGUAAAUCCGGAACGUUAUUAACGCUGAGGUGUGAUGACGAGGCACUACGGUGCUGAAGUGACAAAUGCCCUGCUUCCAGGAAAAGCCUCUAAGCAUCAGGUAACAUCAAAUCGUACCCCAAACCGACACAGGUGGUCAGGUAGAGAAUACCAAGGCGCUUGAGAGAACUCGGGUGAAGGAACUAGGCAAAAUGGUGCCGUAACUUCGGGAGAAGGCACGCUGAUGGUAAGUGAAGUGACUUGCUCACGGAGCUGAAAUCAGUCGAAGAUACCAGCUGGCUGCAACUGUUUAUUAAAAACACAGCACUGUGCAAACACGAAAGUGGACGUAUACGGUGUGACGCCUGCCCGGUGCCGGAAGGUUAAUUGAUGGGGUUAUCCUCGCGGAGAAGCUCUUGAUCGAAGCCCCGGUAAACGGCGGCCGUAACUAUAACGGUCCUAAGGUAGCGAAAUUCCUUGUCGGGUAAGUUCCGACCUGCACGAAUGGCGUAAUGAUGGCCAGGCUGUCUCCACCCGAGACUCAGUGAAAUUGAACUCGCUGUGAAGAUGCAGUGUACCCGCGGCAAGACGGAAAGACCCCGUGAACCUUUACUAUAGCUUGACACUGAACACUGGUCCUUGAUGUGUAGGAUAGGUGGGAGGCUUUGAAGUGUGGACGCCAGUCUGCAUGGAGCCGUCCUUGAAAUACCACCCUUUAAUGGCUGGUGUUCUAACGUGGGCCCGUGAUCCGGGUUGCGGACAGUGUCUGGUGGGUAGUUUGACUGGGGCGGUCUCCUCCUAAAGAGUAACGGAGGAGCACGAAGGUCAGCUAAUCCUGGUCGGACAUCAGGAGGUUAGUGCAAUGGCAUAAGCUGGCUUGACUGCGAGCGUGACGGCGCGAGCAGGUGCGAAAGCAGGUCAUAGUGAUCCGGUGGUUCUGAAUGGAAGGGCCAUCGCUCAACGGAUAAAAGGUACUCCGGGGAUAACAGGCUGAUACCGCCCAAGAGUUCAUAUCGACGGCGGUGUUUGGCACCUCGAUGUCGGCUCAUCACAUCCUGGGGCUGAAGUAGGUCCCAAGGGUAUGGCUGUUCGCCAUUUAAAGUGGUACGCGAGCUGGGUUUAGAACGUCGUGAGACAGUUCGGUCCCUAUCUGCCGUGGGCGCUGGAGAAUUGAGGGGGGCUGCUCCUAGUACGAGAGGACCGGAGUGGACGCAUCACUGGUGUUCGGGUUGUCAUGCCAAUGGCAUUGCCCGGUAGCUAAAUGCGGAAGAGAUAAGUGCUGAAAGCAUCUAAGCACGAAACUUGCCCCGAGAUGAGUUCUCCCUGACUCCUUGAGAGUCCUGAAGGAACGUUGAAGACGACGACGUUGAUAGGCCGGGUGUGUAAGCGCAGCGAUGCGUUGAGCUAACCGGUACUAAUGAACCGUGAGGCUUAACCUU